rnacentral:rRNA from 1 species
CGGGUGCACUGAUCCGGCCGGGCCUUUCCCUCUGUGGAACCCCAUGGCCUUCACUGGCUGUGCGGGGGAAACAGGACUUUUACUGUGAAAAAAUUAGAGUGCUCCAGGCAGGCCUAUGCUCGAAUACAUUAGCAUGGAAUAAUAGAAUAGGACGCGUGGUUCUAUUUUGUUGGUUUCUAGGACCGCCGUAAUGAUUAAUAGGGACAGUCGGGGGCAUCAGUAUUCAAUUGUCAGAGGUGAAAUUCUUGGAUCUAUUGAAGACUAACUACUGCGAAAGCAUUUGCCAAGGAUGUUUUCAUUGAUAAGGAACGAAAGUUAGGGGAUCGAAGACGAUCAGAUACCGUCGUAGUCUUAACUAUAAACUAUGCCGACUAGGGAUCGGACGAUGUUAUUUCUUGACGCGUUCGGCACCUUUCGAGAAAUCAAAGUGCUUGGGCUCCAGGGGGAGUAUGGUCGCAAGGCUGAAACUUAAAGAAAUUGACGGAAGGGCACCACCAGGGGUGGAGCCUGCGGCUUAAUUUGACUCAACACGGGGAAACUCACCAGGUCCAGACACAAUGAGGAUUGACAGAUUGAGAGCUCUUUCUUGAUUUUGUGGGUGGUGGUGCAUGGCCGUUCUUAGUUGGUGGAGUGAUUUGUCUGCUUAAUUGCGAUAACGAACGAGACCUUAACCUGCUAAAUAGCCAGUAUUGCUUUGGCAGUACGUUGGCUUCUUAGAGGGACUAUCGG